GUUCUUAUGUAGUUUGUAGAGUGAUGAUUGGGUGUGCAUGCUCUUAUGUGGGAUGUGCCUCCCUUAGACCUUGUGAUGGCAUCGGCACGUUACCCAUCUGAUG